GCCGCUGUAGCUCAGUGGUAGAGCAACGGUUUCGUAAACCGUAGGUCCCCGGAUCAUACCCGGGCAGCGGCU
rnacentral:tRNA from 1 species